rnacentral:rRNA from 1 species
AUUGAACGCUGGCGGCAUGCUUUACACAUGCAAGUCGAACGGCAGCGCGGGGCAACCUGGCGGCGAGUGGCGAACGGGUGAGUAAUACAUCGGAACGUACCCAGAAGUGGGGGAUAACGUAGCGAAAGUUACGCUAAUACCGCAUACGUUCUACGGAAGAAAGUGGGGGAUCGCAGGACCUCAUGCUUUUGGAGCGGCCGAUGUCUGAUUAGCUAGUUGGUGAGGUAAAGGCUCACCAAGGCGACGAUCAGUAGCUGGUCUGAGAGGACGACCAGCCACACUGGGACUGAGACACGGCCCAGACUCCUACGGGAGGCAGCAGUGGGGAAUUUUGGACAAUGGGCGCAAGCCUGAUCCAGCAAUGCCGCGUGAGUGAAGAAGGCCUUCGGGUUGUAAAGCUCUUUUGUCAGGGAAGAAACGGCUGAGGUUAAUACCUUUGGCUAAUGACGGUACCUGAAGAAUAAGCACCGGCUAACUACGUGCCAGCCGCCGCCGUAA